rnacentral:rRNA from 1 species
UAGGGAAUAUUGGACAAUGGGUGAGAGCCUGAUCCAGCCAUGCCGCGUGCAGGAAGAAGGCGUUAUGCGUUGUAAACUGCUUUUUGCCAGGGGAUAAAAAGACCGUGCGCGGUUAAUUGAAGGUACCUGGUGAAUAAGCCACGGCUAACUACGUGCCAGCAGCCGCGGUAAUACGUAGGUGGCAAGCGUUGUCCGGAUUUAUUGGGUUUAAAGGGUGCGUAGGCGGCCCCGUAAGUCAGUGGUGAAAUACGGCAGCUCAACUGUCGAGGUGCCAUUGAUACUGCGGGGCUUGAGUAUGGACGAGGUAAGCGGAAUUGACGGUGUAGCGGUGAAAUGCAUAGAUAUUAUCCAGAACACCAAUUGCGUAGGCAAGUUACUAAGUCAUAACUGACGCUGAGGCACGAAAGUGUGGGUAUCAAACAGGAUUAGAUACCCGCGUAGUCCCUGAGCGGGCUGGCAAGGCGCAU